rnacentral:lncRNA from 1 species
ACAUAUUAAUACAUAAAUUGUAUUAAUUAAAAAAAAUAAAUAAAUACAUUCAUGAAAUAUAGCGAGAUGGUGAAUACAAUGAAUACAUGUAAUACAGCAAGAUAUAUUAAAACACAGUAGAAAAAAAUAUAAAUACAAAUAAAUACAUAGAAUACAACGAGAUACAUAAAAAUAAAAUAAAAAAAAGGUAACAGACUCUUCAAAUUGAUCAGCCCCAAAACAUUGUCGUCUUUGUUUAAGAUUAACCCUCAUGUCAUUUCAUCGAUAACAGAUUUUGAACCUCCAUUGUCUACCCAAUUUACCCUAGUAAACAAAAGGGAAGAAGGGAACAACAUAUUGCGGUCUACAAGAAUAGUAAGAGGCCAUAAGCGGAAAACCUAUCAAACGCCUUUGAGUUUGUCUCUCACAGUACCCGUGGUUUCCAUUGGAGCAAAUUAUUCAUGGAAAAUGAGAAAAGGGAAUGUUGCAAACAAUCGUUGUUUUAAUGGUUGCUGAGUCAAUCCAUGUUGUAAUGGUUGUGUAGAAGCUUGCAGACUCUCGUUUGGGUCACUGUCACUAGGCCUAAUAGGUGGAUCAGCAUCAAAAUCUGUUAUAAAUGGCGACUCCGACACUAUAGUUGUAUCUGGCAGUACCGUGAUUUGUGGCGUUGGUUGAGAGAGAGGGUAAAAAGAAAUUGAAAAGGAUGAGAGAAAAAAUAAUAUAAAACUUAUUUUAUAGCUUAAGGGUAGGAG